UACGUAGGGGGCGAGCGUUGUCCGGAUUUAUUGGGCGUAAAGAGCGUGUAGGCGGCCAUGCAGGUCCGUUGUGAAAACUGGAGGCUCAACCUCCAGACGCCGGUGGAAACCGCAUGGCUAGAGUCCGGAAGAGGAGAGUGGAAUUCCUGGUGUAGCGGUGAAAUGCGCAGAUAUCAGGAAGAACACCCGUGGCGAAGGCGGCUCUCUGGGACGGUACUGACGCUGAGACGCGAAAGCGUGGGGAGCGAACAGG
rnacentral:rRNA from 1 species